CUACGGGAGGCAGCAGUAAGGAAUAUUGCUCAAUGGGCGCAAGCCUGAAGCAGCGACGCCGCGUGGGGGAUGACGGCCUUCGGGUUGUAAACCCCUUUCGCCAGGGACGAAGAGAGAUUGACGGUACCUGGAGAAGAAGGACCGGCCAACUACGUGCCAGCAGCCGCGGUAAUACGUAGGGUCCGAGCGUUGUCCGGAAUUACUGGGCGUAAAGAGCUCGUAGGUGGUUUGUCGCGUCGUCUGUGAAAUUCUGCAACUCAAUUGUAGGCGUGCAGGCGAUACGGGCAGACUUGAGUACUACAGGGGAGACUGGAAUUCCUGGUGUAGCGGUGAAAUGCGCAGAUAUCAGGAGGAACACCGGUGGCGAAGGCGGGUCUCUGGGUAGUAACUGACGCUGAGGAGCGAAAGCGUGGGUAGCGAACAGGAUUAGAAACCCCUGUAGUCC
rnacentral:rRNA from 1 species